rnacentral:lncRNA from 1 species
GUGUGGUCUCUGAGGCCUCUCAGGUAGUGAUAUUUAGUGCAUGAUUAGCAUAGUGGCAGGAUGUAUCUUUGUCUGUUUUCCCUAUAAAUGGGGGAGCUUACUACUUGAGGAUAAGCUUACCCCGUCAUCUUCCACAAUGUCAUUGUGGUGUUGCUUUGUUGAAUGUCCGAAGAUUGUCAGUGUUCAUCUUAUCAUAAUCGUGAUCCUGAUGAAACU